ACUAGCAGUAAGAGUUUGAUCAUGGCUCAGAAUGAACGCUGGCGGCAGGCCUAAAACAUGCAAGUCGAACGCCCUAGCAAUAGGGAGUGGCGCACGGGUGCGUAACAUGUGGGAAUAUGCCUUUUGGUACGGAACAACCUCGGGAAACUGAGGCUAAUACCGUAUGGUCCCUUCGGGGUAAAGAUUUAUCGCCAAAAGAUUAGCCCGCACUGGAUUAGCUAGUUGGUAGGGUAAUGGCCUACCAAGGCGACGAUCCAUAGCUGGUCUGAGAGGACGAUCAGCCACACUGGGACUGAGACACGGCCCAGACUCCUACGGGAGGCAGCAGUUAGGAAUAUUGGACAAUGGGCGCAAGCCUGAUCCAGCCAUGCCGCGUGAGUGAUGAAGGCCUUCGGGUUGUAAAACUCUUUAGCCGACGAAUAUAAUGACUGUAGUCGGAGAAUAAGCCCCGGCUAACUUCGUGCCAGCAGCCGCGGUAAUAC
rnacentral:rRNA from 1 species